CUAGGCUGACUGAGAACCUUCAAAAUAAGUCUACAUAUAACCCUUGAAAUAACUGUUGAAAAAAAUGGCGGCCACUGCGUGAGUUUUCGCUCUAAAAUUUGUAGAUUUCCUAGUACCCCUCGAAAAAAGACUGUAAAACAUAAACACUCGCUGAUUUAUUUCUAAGCAAGACUGAAAAAUUUUGUAUGAAAUUUCACAUUUUCGUUCUCAGAGUAUUUAGGUCCUCCUUGUCUUAUUCUCUUUCAUUUAUUUUUCCUCUUUUUCCUUUGAUUGCUCUUUCUCUCCCUCGCGCUCGCUCUCAAAGUAGAUCGCAUUUUCUCUAUGUGCGAAGAUGAAUCACCAAAUAUGAGGAAUCUCUGAUCGGAGGAAGGAAUUCCGACGAGGACAGCAGCGCCGGCGAGAACUGUCAUACUCUCUCCGUUACCACCUCCGGCGAAUCUUCCGAUGAUUGUCUCAACAAACAUGGUUGGUUCUCUACUCUGCACUCGAGAAGCCAUGCGUGUGAUGAAGAACCAGGCUAAGGGGGGCCACAUAUUUAACAUGGAUUGUGCAGGCUCAGGGGGAUCUAGUACCCCUCCAACAGCUGUGUAAGUUCAAUUUUUAGUACUAUGGUAAUUUAGUUUAUUCUCUAGUGAGCAGAGGUAUGUCAUGUGGUUUUUGCUAAUCAUUAUUCAAUGAUUCAUGGAAGUUUGUACUAUUCCAAGUUGUUGGUGACUCAAAACGAUUUUCAUUAUUUUAUAUCCUUCGACUUGUAUCUAUGGGUCCACAAAGUGUGGCCUAAGGCAGCUUCAAGCAUCACUCUUGAAAGAGUGCAAGCGGUCCAAAGUUGGGGUGCACACAUCAUCUCCAGGCAUGGUCCUUACUGAUCUUCUGCGUAGGUAUGGAAUAUAUAUCACGGCAUUUUGCAGUGCACUUAUAGCUCCAUUCCGAUUCAUCUCCUGACAACAUUUUAAGGGCCUGAAGUCCCUAAACUAUUGAAUGAAACUGCGAGAACUUGUUUCUCUUGGUUUAUAUUGUAUUUAUUCAUAUUACAUUGGUUGACUUCUUAUGAUAUGAUUGCCCUGCUCAAAUGUUUAUCAUAAAAUACUUUAGUUGAAAGAUAGUGGGUUUAAUCUUUUCCCUUUAUUUAUGAUUUCUUUUUGUUAACCCUUUUCCGAAUCCAUUUAUUAGAACUUGUAUUGCAGAAGUUUCUAUAAUGUUACAGAAGUUUUAGCUCAAACAAUUUCAAUGGAACAUUACCUAUGCAGCUUGGAAUGUUGACCUCCUUACAACAGCUGUAAGUUAUAUAUAUAUAUAUAUAUAUAUUUGUCAAACAUGAAGUAACCUCUUCAUCAUUUUCAGUGCAGAUGCCAAGUGUGUUGCUCAUGGCAGCAUUGCCCAAUUUUCCUAUAGUAUGUGUCAAUUCUCCGUGCUCCUUCUCCCUUAUUGAAUUAGAAUUUUUUUUUUCUAGGAUUUAUUGAAUCAAAAUCUAACUUAAGAAAACUCUUGGUUUCUCUGCAUUUCUCUGAUUUUCCUUUCACACAUUUCUCAAAAAACUAAAAGUUUUAUGGUGCAAGUCAAGUUGAUUAAGUUCAAAACUGAGUGGAUAACUGUGUAUACUUGUAUAUUAGACACCUGUGGUCAAGGUAAUAAUUCAUGAACUGAUCUAUGCUACUUAAUUAUCUUUUUCAGAAAUAUGUUACAUUUUGAAAAUCACAUGUCAAUAUGGACUUCAUCGUAUGACAAUUUUUCAAUCAAACACCUCAAUCAUUUAACAAGUGCAUGAUUAAUUGAUUUGUCUAUUUCCUUGCAGUUCUUAAUGCAAGGAAAAAUUGGUGGCUAUGCAUCAGUCUUUGAGAAGUACCAAGAGAAGAAAGAAUCCUUUAUGUGAGACCCUUUAAACAUUAGUACAUCAAGUUAUUUUGCAUUCAAAUAGAAUAAUAUUAAGAUUAGGAUUUUGAUCA